GUACUCUCACACUCCCGAUGCUUUUGGAUUGGGAGUGGUGGACUUGGGUGUUGCUGCUUCACUGUGGCUCACCUCAAAUGGAGUAGUGCAACUCUUGAUUGGACAUAGUACGGCGUGAUAAGUGUCUUCGCCGGCACCUCGUAAGAGGGUGGCUGAUCGGGAGCUCUGUGCUUUCAAACCGUCUUCGGACAAUCCCUGACA
rnacentral:misc_RNA from 1 species